GUGGGGAAUAUUGGACAAUGGGCGAAAGCCUGAUCCAGCAAUGCCGCGUGAGUGAUGAAGGCCUUAGGGUUGUAAAGCUCUUUUACCCGGGAUGAUAAUGACAGUACCGGGAGAAUAAGCUCCGGCUAACUCCGUGCCAGCAGCCGCGGUAAUACGGAGGGAGCUAGCGUUGUUCGGAAUUACUGGGCGUAAAGCGCACGUAGGCGGCUUUGUAAGUUAGAGGUGAAAGCCUGGAGCUUAACUCCAGAACUGCCUUUAAGACUGCAUCGCUUGAAGCCAGGAGAGGUGAGUGGAAUUCCGAGUGUAGAGGUGAAAUUCGUAGAUAUUCGGAAGAACACCAGUGGCGAAGGCGGCUCACUGGACUGGUAUUGACGCUGAGGUGCGAAAGCGUGGGGAGCAAACAGGAUUAGAAACCCUGGUAGUCC
rnacentral:rRNA from 1 species